rnacentral:rRNA from 1 species
CAUGGUUGUCGUCAGCUCGUGUCGCGAGAUGUUGGGUUAAGUCCCGCAACGAGCGCAACCCUCGACCUUAGUUACAAGUGUCUAGGGGGACUGCCGGCGGAAAGCCGGAGGAAGGUGGGAUGACGUCAAGUCAGCAUGGCCCUUAUAUCCAGGGCUACACACACGCUACAAUGGUCGGUACAAAGGGCAGCGAAGCCGCGAGGUGGAGCGAAUCCCAGCAAAGCCGACCGUAGUACGGAUAGCAGGCUGCAACUCGCCUGCUUGAAGCUGGAGUUGCUAGUAACCGCGCGUCAGCAUAGUGCGGUGAAUACGUUCCCGGGGCUU